rnacentral:rRNA from 1 species
CGGGACACGUGGUAUCCUGUCUGAAUAUGGGGGGACCAUCCUCCAAGGCUAAAUACUCCUGACUGACCGAUAGUGAACCAGUACCGUGAGGGAAAGGCGAAAAGAACCCCGGCGAGGGGAGUGAAAAAGAACCUGAAACCGUGUACGUACAAGCAGUGGGAGCACAGAGCAAUCUGUGUGACUGCGUACCUUUUGUAUAAUGGGUCAGCGACUUAUAUUCUGUAGCAAGGUUAACCGAAUAGGGGAGCCGAAGGGAAACCGAGUCUUAACUGGGCGUUAAGUUGCAGGGUAUAGACCCGAAACCCGGUGAUCUAGCCAUGGGCAGGUUGAAGGUUGGGUAACACUAACUGGAGGACCGAACCGACUAAUGUUGAAAAAUUAGCGGAUGACUUGUGGCUGGGGGUGAAAGGCCAAUCAAACCGGGAGAUAGCUGGUUCUCCCCGAAAGCUAUUUAGGUAGCGCCUCGUGAAUUCAUCUCCGGGGGUAGAGCACUGUUUCGGCAAGGGGGUCAUCCCGACUUACCAACCCGAUGCAAACUGCGAAUACCGGAGAAUGUUAUCACGGGAGACACACGGCGGGUGCUAACGUCCGUCGUGAAGAGGGAAACAACCCAGACCGCCAGCUAAGGUCCCAAAGUCAUGGUUAAGUGGGAAACGAUGUGGGAAGGCCCAGACAGCCAGGAUGUUGGCUUAGAAGCAGCCAUCAUUUAAAGAAAGCGUAAUAGCUCACUGGUCGAGUCGGCCUGCGCGGAAGAUGUAACGGGGCUAAACCAUGCACCGAAGCUGCGGCAGCGACGCUGAUGCGUUGUUGGGUAGGGGAGCGUUCUGUAAGCCUGCGAAGGUGUGCUGUGAGGCAUGCUGGAGGUAUCAGAAGUGCGAAUGCUGACAUAAGUAACGAUAAAGCGGGUGAAAAGCCCGCUCGCCGGAAGACCAAGGGUUCCUGUCCAACGUUAAUCGGGGCAGGGUGAGUCGACCCCUAAGGCGAGGCCGAAAGGCGUAGUCGAUGGGAAACAGGUUAAUAUUCCUGUACUUGGUGUUACUGCGAAGGGGGGACGGAGAAGGCUAUGUUGGCCGGGCGACGGUUGUCCCGGUUUAAG